GACGAACGCUGGCGGCGUGCUUAACACAUGCAAGUCGAACGGAGAGGCCCUGCUUUUGUGGGGUGCUCGAGUGGCGAACGGGUGAGUAACACGUGAGUAACCUGCCCUUGACUUUGGGAUAACUUCAGGAAACUGGGGCUAAUACCGGAUAGGAGCUCCUGCUGCAUGGUGGGGGUUGGAAAGUUUCGGCGGUUGGGGAUGGACUCGCGGCUUAUCAGCUUGUUGGUGGGGUAGUGGCUUACCAAGGCUUUGACGGGUAGCCGGCCUGAGAGGGUGACCGGCCACAUUGGGACUGAGAUAUGGCCCAGACUCCUACGGGAGGCAGCAGUGGGAAAUAUUGCACAAUGGGCGGAAGCCUGAUGCAGCAACGCCGCGUGCGGGAUGACGGCCUUCGGGUUGUAAACCGCUUUCGCCUGUGACGAAGCGUGAGUGACGGUAAUGGGUAAAGAAGCACCGGCUAACUACGUG
rnacentral:rRNA from 1 species